AUUUCCUUAGACUCAGAAAAAAUGGGCUUUAGUAAGCUUUUUGUUGUUUUGCAAGUGCUUUUGAUAUCUAUCAUUCUCUUGGCUUUUCAGGUGGCUGCUAGGGAACUGGUCGAGACUUCCAGCGCUCUAAAUUCUUACCAUAAGAUGGACAGAGAGCUGAUCACGGGCAAUAGAGCGGAUAAUCCAUGGCCCCACAAUCCCUAGACAUGGAUGAUUUGCCUCAACGACUCGAGCAUAAUUCAAGACAAAAGGGGUUGACUUGGUGAUUAAGAUGUCCCGAGGCGAUGCUCGCACUUGAAUCUCACUAUUGCAAGCUAGCUAAUACUACUAUUUUUCUUUUCUUUUUCUUUUUUUUUUUGAUUCUCCUCCUAUCAGUUGUAAAAACGUGGAAUUAAAAUAAUGUUCUUUAUGAAUUGUUGCGAAA